UACAGAGGGGGCAAGCGUUAUUCGGAAUUAUUGGGCGUAAAGGGCGCGUAGGCGGCUUUUCAAGUGACGGGUGAAAUCCCUCGGCUUAACCGGGGAACUGCGUCUGAUACUGGAUGGCUUGAGUUUGGGAGAGGGAUGCGGAAUUCCAGGUGUAGCGGUGAAAUGCGUAGAUAUCUGGAGGAACACCGGUGGCGAAGGCGGCAUCCUGGACCAACACUGACGCUGAGUGAGCGAAAGCCAGGGGAGCAAACGGG
rnacentral:rRNA from 1 species